AUGGGGUGCAGCAGGCGAGAAAACUUUGCAAUGUGCGCAAGCACGACAAGGUUAAUCCGAGUGUUUCCUGCUAAAGGAAUCUUUUGCUAGUCCUAAAAACACUAGCGAAUAAGGGGUGGGCAAGUUCUGGUGUCAGCCGCCGCGGUAAAACCAGCACCUCAAGUGGUCAGGAGGAUUAUUGGGCCUAAAGCAUCCGUAGCCGGCUCUGUAAGUUUUCGGUUAAAUCUGUACGCUCAACGUACAGGCUGCUGGGAAUACUGCAGAGCUAGGGAGUGGGAGAGGUAGACGGUACUCGGGAGGAAGUGGUAAAAUGCUUUGAUCUCUCGAUGACCACCUGUGGCGAAGGCGGUCUACCAGAACACGUCCGACGGUGAGGGAUGAAAGCUGGGGGAGCAAACCGGAUUAGAUACCCGGGUAGUCCCAGCUGUAAACUAUGCAAACUCAGUGAUGCGUUGGCUUAUGGCCAGCGCAGUGUUGCAGGGAAGCCGUUAAGUUUGCCGCCUGGGAAGUACGUACGCAAGUAUGAAACUUAAAGGAAUUGGCGGGGGAGCAC
rnacentral:rRNA from 1 species